rnacentral:rRNA from 1 species
CUGGGAGGACCAUCUCCUAAGGCUAAAUACUCUCUAGUGACCGAUAGUGAACCAGUACCGUGAGGGAAAGGUGAAAAGCACCCCGGAAGGGGAGUGAAAUAGAACCUGAAACCGUGUGCUUACAAGUAGUCAGAGCCCGUUAAUGGGUGAUGGCGUGCCUUUUGUAGAAUGAACCGGCGAGUUACGAUUUGAUGCAAGGUUAAGCAGUAAAUGUGGAGCCGUAGCGAAAGCGAGUCUGAAUAGGGCGUUUAGUAUUUGGUCGUAGACCCGAAACCAGGUGAUCUACCCUUGGUCAGGUUGAAGUUCAGGUAACACUGAAUGGAGGACCGAACCGACUUACGUUGAAAAGUGAGCGGAUGAACUGAGGGUAGCGGAGAAAUUCCAAUCGAACCUGGAGAUAGCUGGUUCUCUCCGAAAUAGCUUUAGGGCUAGCCUCAAGUGAUGAUUAUUGGAGGUAGAGCACUGUUUGGACGAGGGGCCCCUCUCGGGUUACCGAAUUCAGACAAACUCCGAAUGCCAAUUAAUUUAACUUGGGAGUCAGAACAUGGGUGAUAAGGUCCGUGUUCGAAAGGGAAACAGCCCAGACCACCAGCUAAGGUCCCAAAAUAUAUGUUAAGUGGAAAAGGAUGUGGCGUUGCCCAGACAACUAGGAUGUUGGCUUAGAAGCAGCCAUCAUUUAAAGAGUGCGUAAUAGCUCACUAGUCGAGUGACACUGCGCCGAAAAUGUACCGGGGCUAAACAUAUUACCGAAGCUGUGGAUUGUCCUUUGGACAAUGGUAGGAGAGCGUUCUAAGGGCGUUGAAGCAU